rnacentral:lncRNA from 1 species
AUGCGCAGUGGGUGGGAAAGGAGACUGGUCCCUGAAGGAAGGGAGAGUGGCUGUUGUGCACCUGCAGUCACGACACUUCCAUCAAUCUCCUUCAAAAGCCACCUUUGGAGCUUUCAGUUUCCUGAAAAAAUCAGAAAAUCCACUUGCUUAUCAGCUCUACGCAGCGUUUUGAAAGUGAUUGCACUGAGACCUCCUCCACACCGCACUGUAAAUGACACCAAUGGACAACAGGAGUCUAGAAAUGACAUGAACGGACACCAACAAAAAAGAAGGGGGCCUGGAGCCUGGGCCAUGUCAGCAGGCUGGGUGUGCAGGAUGGCAGCAGGGGCUGGCACCAGUUUUGUUAGUGCAGUGACAACCGUAGGUUUGUGUAAAUAA